GACGAACGCUGGCGGCGCGCUUAACACAUGCAAGUCGAGCGAGAACCCGACCUUCGGGUCUGGGGAAAGCGGCGAACGGGUGAGUAACACGUGGGUAACCCACCCUUGGUACUGGGAUAGCCCGGGGAAACCCGGAUUAAUACCGGAUGGCCCAACAGCUCUUCGGGGCGGUUGGAAAAGGUAGCUUCGGCCUCCGACCAAGGACGGGCCCGCGGCGGAUUAGCUUGUUGGUGGGGUAACGGCCCACCAAGGCGACGAUCCGUAGCUGGUCUGGGAGGACGAGCAGCCACACUGGGACGGAGACACGGCCCAGACUCCGACGGGAGGCAGCAGUGGGGAAUCUUGCGCAAUGGGCGAAAGCCUGACGCAGCGACGCCGCGUGGGGGAAGAAGGCUUUCGGGUUGUAAACCCCUUUCAGGAGAGACGAAGCUACUCGGGUGAAUAGCCCAGAGGGUGACGGUAUCUCCAGAAGAAGCCCCGGCUAACUACGUGCCAGCCGCCGCCGUAAAAC
rnacentral:rRNA from 1 species